rnacentral:rRNA from 1 species
CUAAGUUUGAUGGCGACCGGCGCACGGGUGAGUAACACGUAUCCAACCUGCCGAUGACUCGGGGGAUAGCCUUUCGAAAGAAAGAUUAAUACCCGAUGGCAUAGUUCUUCCGCAUGGUAGAACUAUUAAAGAAUUUCGGUCAUCGAUGGGGAUGCGUUCCAUUAGGUUGUUGGCGGGGGUAACGGCCCACCAAGCCUUCGAUGGAUAGGGGGUUCUGAGAGGAAGGUCCCCCCACAUUGGAACUGAGACACGGUCCAAACUCCUACGGGAGGCAGCAUG